GAAGUGGACUGGACGGUCGCUGCUGUGGAGGUCUUCGUGACUGAAGCAGGGGAGGAAAGUCCGGGCUUCAUAGGGCAGGGUGCCAGGUAACGCCUGGGCGGCGAAAGUCGACGGAAAGUGCAGCAGAGAGUAGACCGCCUCAUUCGUGAGGUAAGGGUGAAAGGGUGCGGUAAGAGCGCACCGCGUGUCUGGUAACAGUUCACGGCAUGGUAAACCCCACCAGAAGCAAGACCAAAUAGGAAUCCUGAGGUACGGCCCGUACUGGAUUCGGGUAGGUCGCUUGAGCGUAUGAGUGAUUGUACGCCUAGAGGAAUGAUCGUCCUCGACAGAACCCGGCUUACAGGUCCACUUCACUA
rnacentral:RNase_P_RNA from 1 species